rnacentral:rRNA from 1 species
AUGGACCCGGCCCAGGAGGAGCUCGAGCGCCGCAGCCGCUACCUCAGCUCGCUCGUCCGCCGCACCAGGCUCGACGACCCGCCCCAGCCGGAGCCGGAGCCGGAGCGAGAGCUCAAGGUGGAGCGGAAAUCGGCGGCGGAGCCCAGCGGCGGGGAGGGCAAGGCCGCUAAGCCGGAGGCCAAGGACAACAGGGAGGCGGCGAAGGUCAAAGGGGACGCCGCGAGCGGGGAGGGGAGGAAGGUGGCGGUGCGGGUGCGCGCGGCGGACAUGCCGCUGGCGCUGCAGCGGCGCGCGAUCUGGAUCGCCCGGGAGGUCGUCCUCUCCACGCCGCGCCUCGAGAGCAAGCGCCUCGCGCUCGCGCUCAAGAAGGAAUUCGACACGACAUACGGGCCUGCUUGGCACUGCAUUGUCGGCACAAGCUUUGGCUCCUACGUCACUCACUCCUUAGGAGGCUUCCUGUACUUUUCCGUUGACAAGGCGUACAUUCUUCUCUUCAGAACCGCUGUCGAGCCACUGAGUAAACCGUGA